rnacentral:rRNA from 1 species
GUAGUCCACGCCGUAAACGAUGAGUACUAGGUUUAGCGGGUCUUGACCCCUGCUGAGCCGGAGCUAACGCAAUAAGUACUCCGCCUGGGAAGUACGGUCGCAAGACUAAAACUCAAAGGAAUUGACGGGGGCCCGCACAAGCGGUGGAUCAUGUGGUUUAAUUCGAAGCAACGCGAAAAACCUUACCUAGGCUUGACAUCCUCUGACCGCUGCAGAAAUGCAGUUUUCGUAGCAAUACGACAGAGAGACAGGUGCUGCAUGGCUGUCGUCAGCUCGUGUGGUGACAUGUUGGGUUAAGUCCCUUAACGAGCGCAACCCCUGCUGUUAGUUGCCACCAUUAAGUUGGGCACUCUAAUAGGACUGCCGUGGUUAACACGGA